UUUGAUGAAAAUUUUGUGUGGUAAAAAUAGUUUGGACAAGAUUAAAUAAAAGUGAGACAGUGUUGAGAUUUCACGAAUAAGGAAAUGCAGAGUUGGUUUGCUUAUGUAUGUUCUCUCGUAAAAAGGCAGGUCUAAGGGGGGCAGGUUUCACCUCACUGUGUAAAGUUCACACUCAGAUUUCCCUGUAAAGUUCUCAUCAACAUCAUCAUUACCAUCAUAAAGAUCAAAACACCCAAUGGAGUUCGCUCAAAGGAAUUGCAUUAUACUUUUUAUUCAUUCAACAUAGAGUUUGCGGAAGGAGUAAAAUGAAGGACUUACUAAGAUAGAAUCACAUGAAGUGGAGUUUUCUUAAAAUAGAAAACUCUCAAAGACACAGUUGAAUUAUUUCGCUGAACCAAACCAAAACAGUCGUAAUAUCCAUUGCACUGCAUCAAUGAGCAUAGCCUGUGAAUCGGAUUGCUUGGUCUCAAUUAUUGGCAGAGAACGACAUCCUUGUGGAAACUCCUUUCUGUUUCAAAAUAUGCCUUUCUCCUGUCAAAGCUUAAAAUACAUAAUUUGAUAAAUAAUUGUGAUAUAUAAAGUAUACAUUAAAUAGGUUUAUUUCAUAAAAUUCAUUAUAUAUAUAUAU